rnacentral:misc_RNA from 1 species
GAAAUGCGAUAAGUAAUGUGAAUUGCAGAAUUCAGUGAAUCAUCGAAUCUUUGAACGCACCUUGCGCCCUUUGGUAUUCCGAGGGGCAUGCCUGUUUGAGUGUCAUUAAAUACCAUCAACCCUCUUUUGACUUCGGUCUCGAGAGUGGCUUGGAAGUGGAGGUCUGCUGGAGCCUAACGGAGCCAGCUCCUCUUAAAUGUAUUAGCGGAUUUCCCUUGCGGGAUCGCGUCUCCGAUGUGAUAAUUUCUACGUCGUUGACCAUCUCGGGGCUGACCUAGUCAGUUUCAAUAGGAGUCUGCUUCUAACCGUCUCUUGACUGAGACUAGCGACUUGUGCGCUAACUUUUGACUUGACCUCAAAUCAGGUAGGACUUCCCGCUGAACUUAAGC